AUUGAACGCUGGCGGCAGGCCUAACACAUGCAAGUCGAGCGGUAACAGAGAUAGCUUGCUAUCUGCUGACGAGCGGCGGACGGGUGCGUAACACGUAGGAAUCUACCCAGUAGCGGGGGAUAGCCCGGAGAAAUCCGGAUUAAUACCGCAUACGCACUACUCUUUUUCGGAAGAGGGUGGAAAGCAGGGGACUCUUCGGAGCCUUGCACUAUUGGAUGAGCCUGCGGCGGAUUAGCUAGUUGGUGGGGUAAAGGCCUACCAAGGCAACGAUCCGUAGCUGGUCUGAGAGGAUGAUCAGCCACACUGGGACUGAGACACGGCCCAG
rnacentral:rRNA from 1 species